UACGAAGGGGGCUAGCGUUGUUCGGAAUCACUGGGCGUAAAGCGCACGUAGGCGGGUCGUUAAGUCAGGGGUGAAAUCCCGAGGCUCAACCUCGGAACUGCCUUUGAUACUGGCGACCUUUGAGUCCGGGAGAGGUGAGUGGAACUCCGAGUGUAGAGGUGAAAUUCGUAGAUAUUCGGAAGAACACCGGUGGCGAAGGCGGCAUCCUGGACCGGCAUUGACGCUGAGGCGCGAAAGCCAGGGGAGCAAACGGG
rnacentral:rRNA from 1 species